rnacentral:rRNA from 1 species
GACGAACCGUGCGAACGUUGUUCGGAUUCACUGGGCUUAAAGGGCGCGUAGGCGGACUCGCCAGUCUGUGGUGAAAGCCCCCAGCUUAACUGAGGAAGUGCCGUGGAUACUGCGAGUCUGGAGGAGGGUAGGGGCAUCUGGAACGCUGGGUGGAGCGGUGAAAUGCGUUGAUAUCCAGCGGAACUCCGGUGGCGAAGGCGAGGUGCUGGACCCUUUCUGACGCUGAGGCGCGAAAGCCAGGGGAGCAAACGGG